rnacentral:rRNA from 1 species
AUACGGAGGGUGCAAGCGUUAAUCGGAAUUACUGGGCGUAAAGCGCUCGUAGGCGGCUUGUUAAGUCGGAUGUGAAAGCCCCGGGCUCAACCUGGGAACUGCAUUCGAUACUGGCAAGCUAGAGUAUAGUAGAGGCAAGUGGAAUUCCGGGUGUAGCGGUGAAAUGCGUAGAUAUCCGGAGGAACAUCAGUGGCGAAGGCGACUUGCUGGACUAAUACUGACGCUGAGGUGCGAAAGCGUGGGGAGCAAACAGGAUUAGAUACCCCAGUAGUCC